rnacentral:rRNA from 1 species
CAGCCUACGGGAGGCAGCAGUGGGGAAUAUUGGGCAAUGGGCGCAAGCCUGACCCAGCAACGCCGCGUGAAGGAAGAAGGCUUUCGGGUUGUAAACUUCUUUUCUGGGGGACGAACAAAUGACGGUACCCCAGGAAUAAGCCACGGCUAACUACGUGCCAGCAGCCGCGGUAAUACGUAGGUGGCAAGCGUUAUCCGGAUUUAUUGGGUGUAAAGGGCGAGUAGGCGGGAAUGCAGGUCAGAUGUGAAAACUA